GGAAAUACUCUACCUAUCUAUAUCUCCGGACAACUGACUGGUUAAUAAACGAGAACCGGGUGGGCGUAUCUUAGCUAAAUCACAAUGGAGCAUGGUAUGACCUUGGGCGUAACGACACAAGACCCUGCAGCACAAAAUAGGAACCCAACUCAGAAGCCCUACAUAGCAGAUCCUGAAUUUAGUGAAGCUUUAAAACCACUUUUAUCACUGAGCCAGAAGAUUGACCGAAUCAGAUCUGCAAGUCAAUGUCAAAAAAGAAGAAAUCGAAAAAAUCACUUGUCCUGAUAAUGACCUUAUUGGAAAAGAUUGGUACUCAUUCGGUUUACAGAAAGAAAUAGACCCCGACAAACUCGAUCAAAUCAAAGAUGAUAAUGGUACCAGAGAAGAAAGAAAGUCUGACCUUCUUCAUCUCCUGAUUGAGCCAAAGUAUCAAAUUCGCUAUGAAGACAUUGUUUAUUUUCAUUAUAAAAUUGACAAGCAAAGUGAAUUUAUCACUCUCAUUCUUGACUAUAUUGUUGAUCAAAGGAAAAAGACAGAGCCUUGUAUUCCCAAAUAUAAGAAAAGUAAUAAUCCGCCAAAAGACAUGGAACGCCCAUGGCAAGCUAUUUAUGAGGAAAGAUUAAAAGCUAAACCUGUUCCUGGUCUAAGACAAGAACUCAGUACUGAAAACUAUCAAAAGAAAUUUUAUGAUACACUUUGGUAUGAAGAAAAAGAGCAUACAAUAAAACUUCACAACAAGUGUAGUGGUGUUUACAAAUUGUUUGUCACUGAUGAUGUUCCACCAGAAGUCAAGGAGUUAGCAUUAAAACCAGAACGAUAUAAAGAAUUUGGGUACAUUGAGGAUGAUGCAUUUACUUAUGACAAGAUAGAGUAUGCCACUCAAGCCAGCGAAGGCGUCAAGAUUUAUAAGUCAAAUGAUUUUUAUGUUUGCAAGGCAUUAAUUUCUCAGCAUAAUUUUUUUCAUGUCGAGCAGCGCCUUUAUUUAUGUUUUCCGGGUCGAACCAUGAGAAUGCUUCAAGGCCGAUCAUCUCACAGAAAAAUCCACUUUAAAGUUAAAAUGAAGUUUGAAUUAAAACAUUCUUAUUUUAGCAACCUUCAGCAUGCCAUUGCUGUCAUACCGCAGUAUGUUAUCAACUGUCUUAUAUCUGACAAGCAUUCUUUCAGUCGUUUGGAGGAAAAGUUUAAACCUCAGUGGUCAAAAUAUAGCUUCAUGAAACUGGAUGAUGUCCAAACACAAGCCCUUCAAAUGAUCACUUCUGUUUCUUCAAGGUGUGUUGCAGAUUCAUGCCCUCCUCCAGUUCUUCUUAAUGGUCCCUUUGGUUCUGGUAAGACCCGUAUUCUUGCUCGUGCUGCUUACGAAGUUAUGACCAAUGGAAUUUCGAAAGGUGAUCCUUUUACAAGAAUAUUAAUUUGUGCUCAUCACCCUCAGUCAGUUAAUUCUUUCAUUGAGGAGUAUUUCACUCGAAUUGAAAAUAAAGAGGGCAAACUUCCGUAUCGUGUUUUUCAUGUUUCUCGAUAUUUAGGGAAUCCUUACCCAAAUUCGCAUAACUCUCAUUUCUACAUGACUUUUGAUGAACUUGAGAAUUUAGAGCCAGAAAAGCUUGAGAAUGUCAUCAUUAUUGCAUCUUAUAAUGGAUCCUUGAGUCUUUAUGACAUAAUUGAUGUUCCUGGCUAUGGUUAUUUCAAUUAUGUGUUCCUUGAUGAAGCAGCUCAGGUACGUGAGCCAGAAGCAAUAACUCCAUUAGCUCUUGCUACACACGAUGCUAAAAUUGUUUUAGCUGGAGAUGACAAACAAGUUGGCCCCAAAACCCUUGUACUAGGAGAAGAGGCACAAAAUGAUGGUCUUGAUGUUUCCCUUUUAACACGUUUAACAGGUCACUACAAGGGAAUGGGCCCCACUGCAGCUACCUACAUGACCACACUGUCCAUUAAUUAUCGUGCUCAUGAAGAUCUCCUUUCAUUGCCAGAAUUGUUUUAUGGGAAGCUUCACGCAAGUGAAAAUAAACCAGUUUGGCAUCACCAAGGUCCAUCUGGCUAUAAAUUUGUAUGCUCUGAUUCUAGACUUGUACAUGACAGUGUUGCUGCUAAUGAACAGCAACAAUCGGUUGAGGCAUGCAUUGUCUUGGAACAGGCAUUACUUUAUUUGAAAGAAACAGAAAAGGAAAGGAAGCCGCCUCAAAUUUGUAUCAUUUCUUCUACUAGGAAGCAAUUAAAUCAUAUAAAGCAAAUGGUCUAUCGUUAUCCUUGCUACAAUAUUUUGAAGGAAAAGAAAGUCAAGUUUUUGCCAUCUUUUAUGAUUCAAGGUCAUCAGUUUGAAGCUAUAUUUUUGUGCUUGCUGGAGCCUUUGAAGGAUGGGAAAAUUAAAGAAUACUUUACUAAAAGUCUCUUUAAUCAUUUUGUGUUUAACACGGUUAUCACAAGAGCAAAAACUCUUGUAGUGACUGUCGGUACACCGUUUGAAAUACUUGAUUUUGAAGACCAGUAUAUCAGUGAGGCAGAUGGUGAAGUAAAAUGUUGGCAUGAAUACCUCCAGCUAUGCAAAGCACGUGGUACAAUAUCGCACUUGGAGCCAAAGAUUGAGAAGGAAUUUGACGAAAGACUAGAAAAGAGAAUGCAACAAAAUGAUCCUGCACCAGCUCCUUUACGUCAAAGUCGAGUUGAGAAAGAUUUUGAGAAGCUAGGUAUGCUUGGUAAAGGAGGAUUUGGAGUUGUUUAUCAUGUCUUACAUAAAGUGGACAAAGGAAAGUAUGCCAUUAAGAUGAUACCCACGACGAGUGGUAAGGUGAAGAGAGAAGUUCAUGCACUUUCUGUAUUGUAUCACCCUGGAAUUGUUCGAUACUACAAUUCUUUCAUUGAUUGUGCUCCUGUUGGGUGGGAUGAUGAUGAUGCAAUGGAUGAGCCUUCAACUUCUUUUGGUCCAAGUAACUCAUUAUCAGUGCAAUCUGUCCGGACAUUAUCUCCUAUUGGUGCUAACCAUAAUUCUAGUGGUACUGAGUCUUUUUCAAUAGAGUUUAGAGAUGACAGUUUACAAAAGAAUAGGUCACAGGAGAAAGGCAUUCCUACACAUACCAAAUCAACUGAUGAAACACUGACAGAUGAUGCAACAGAUGAUACAACAUCCUAUUCCUCCUUAGCUGGCUAUCAAAAAUACUUGUUUAUACAAAUGGAAUUAUGCCAAAGGAAGACAUUAAGAGAUUGGCUGAGUAUAAAUGUUCACAAUCGUUAUCGAAUCAAAGUGUUUAAUUUUUUUGUACAGAUUCUUGAUGCUGUGAUAUACAUGCAUGACAAGGAUUACAUACACCGUGACUUAAAGAUGUUCAGGGUAGUCAUACUAGUGAGAUCGGAACUUCAUUUUAUGUCAGCCCUGAGCAGAAAGCUGGUCAUCGGUAUAAUGAAAGGGCUGACGUUUAUUCGCUUGGAAUAAUUUUAUUUGAGCUUUACUUUCCUUUUAGCACAGAAAUGGAAAGGGAUAAAGUUUUAGGAGAUAUAAAGAGUAAUAGAAGACUUCCAAAGGAAUUUAAAGAAAAUUUUUAUAAUG
rnacentral:misc_RNA from 1 species